CCACCGAACGUGUGUUUGGUUGGCGUAAUAGCAUUACAGCCUGAUUCCAUUCAGGCCCUAUUACAGCCAUUGACUAUAAUAGCCAUUCCUUCCCUUAAGUGCUGAAUAGGGAUGCCGUCUGCGUUUCUUUCCUCUUUUCCAUUUUCUGCCCUCAGCAUCUUCUCCUACGUUUCCUUCUUUUCCAAAUCUUCUCCUAGAAUUUCUAAGUGGCGGAUUAAAUCGUAUUGCUGUUGUUGAAUUAUUCUUUACGGUGAGUCCUGUCUGGUUUGUUUCUUUCAAUCUUUCUUCCUCUCUCUCUGCCACUCUUCGUCUUCUAUGAGGCAUUGAAUUGAAGGGAUUCAAUCUGUCAAUUUUAGUUUUUGGUGAAAAUUAAAAUAUGGGAUCAUCAUCAGUAAUAACCCCAGAAGAUGUGUUGGAGUCACUGAUGAAUGAUGGAACCAUUGAUGCUCUCAGGUUGAAGAUUAUAAAUCAGCUAAAAGCCAAUGAGGAGCUGAAGAACACAACGAUCAAAAUGGCAGAGCAGAGUAAGGUCCUAAACACGUCUGGUGUGGAGAAACAGACCAAAAGAGAAUUGUUUGAUGCACUUAGCUUGAGGAGAAUUGUUUGGUGCACUUAGAUGUUCAUUUUCUACCAUGAGCUUUAUGUUUUGCUCAUGGUGACAAUUUUGCUGCGAAAAGAAUGAGAAAGCUGACCCAAAGGAGAGCUGUUGAUUAUACUAGUACUGUUGUGCGAUAUAUGCAGGUAUUUUUUUCAUGUUUAGUUGUUUUUAUAAGCGUUUUUUUUUCUAUAUAUUUCUAUAAGUUGUUGCAUGGUCUUGGUGAAUCUGAUUAACAUGGAUGCUUAUGUUUUUUCUUAGAUGGCUUAAAUGUCUCUUCAUUAUUGUGGUUGUUGGCCUUCUCUUUAUCAAUACGGGCAUUGAUUAUUCAAUGUACUUGGCUGCUGUAUUUUAAAUUUUACUUUUUUCUUCUGUAGCCUUUUGCUCAAGUUUAUUAUUCAAUGUACUUGGCUGCUGUAUUUUAAAGUUUAUAAAGCUCUGUAGCGCUAUUAUAGCCAUAAUUGUAUCUUUAUGAUAGCUUAACUUAUGGAGUUGUGUUUCAGAUUGCUGCUGGAAAAUCCAUUAAUAUAGAGGCAAAAUGACUUGGUCUUGCUUGUCAUUGAUGUAUGGUGUUAAGAUGUUCUUUUUUUGCUUCAUGGGAAAAAUAUUAAGUUGAUGUCUUUUUAUGUCAUAUUUUUCCUAGUUGCUAAGAGUAGCUCCUCUUUCUCAUAGUUUGGACCAAUGCCAAUUGACUUUGUGUUCAUCACUAUUCAGUUAUUGCCUACUUUAUCUUGGCUAAUUCAGGGUUUGCCAGAAUUGUUGGGUAUUCGCACUAAUAUUGGAUUAAAGAGAAUGGGAGAGCUUGAUCCAAAGACUUUUCAUGACACUUGUAAGUCGCGAUUUCCUCCUGAUGAAGCAGAAAUUCAGGCCACUACUCUAUACUCAUCAUGGCAGGAGAAUCUGAAGAAUCCAGAUUGGCAUCCAAUUUUCAGGAGAAACUAACAAAUCUAAAGUUGGAAUGGGGUGAAGAGAUUUAUAAUGCAGUGGUAACAGAUUUGAAAGAACUCUUUUGUAUUAACUUAUUGUAGUAUGCUUGUAGUUGAAGUUUCUUAUAGUGAACAUCAUGUUGUUUAUUCAGCAGAAGUUUCAAAGAUUUUAGUUUUAGGAGAAAGUAUGUACUGUGGUUAUUAGAUUGGGUUUUCAAAUAUGAUUAUGUUAACAUUUUGAUCAAACAUUAUGAACAGUUCUCUUGUUAA